AUGGCUCAGAUUGAACGCUGGCGGCAUGCCUUACACGAUGCAAGUCGAACGGUAACGCGGGGCAACCUGGCGACGAGUGGCGAACGGGUGAGUAAUAUAUCGGAACGUGCCCAGUAGUGGGGAUAGCCCGGCGAAAGCCGGAUUAAUACCGGCAUACGACCUAUGGGGUGAAAGCGGGGGAUCGCAAGACCUCGCGCUAUUGGAGCGGCCGAUAUCAGAUUAGCUAGUUGGUGGGGUAAAGGCCUACCAAGGCGACGAUCUGUAGCUGGUCUGACGAGGACGACCAGCCACACUGGGACUGAGACACGGCCCAGACUCCUACGGGAGGCAGCAGUGGGGAAUUUUGGACAAUGGGCGAAAAGCCCUGAUCCAGCCAUGCCGCGUGAGUGAAGAAGGCCUUCGGGUUGUAAAGCUCUUUCGGCUGGGAAGAAAUCGCACAGGCUAAUACUCUGUGUGGAUGACGGUACCAGCACAAGAAGCACCGGCUAACUACGUG
rnacentral:rRNA from 1 species